rnacentral:lncRNA from 1 species
AUUUCUCAGCCUUUGACAUUUUAGAAGCUGUAGAACAGCUGAAGGCUGGAGUGUCAUUAACAGAUGAGAUUUGCUCAAGUUACCGCAUUUUCCUAUUCUACCCAGCUUAAUUGGCAUGUCAGGCUACGGAUCCAGCCUGUGAUAAAAGGCCAAAUGUCUACUGAUUCUCCCAGCCUGACUGCUGUGGCAAUACUCUCUCAGACAAUGUACCCUUCCUGUUGGUAUGUGUUCUGUAAUGUCUGCUGUUGAAUCUUAUGUGGCCUGGUGAGUUGUUUUGACCCAUCAUAUCUGCCACAAGAGAUUUAAGUGAUAGGGUUGAACUGUUAAAAGGACCAAAAGAAAUAUAUCAGGUGGGUAGGUUGGAGGCACACUUCUCCAGGAAGUGGACAAGAAGGUAAGGACAGCAGUGAUUUCUGGAAACACUAGGAAAUGCAUCUGAAAUAUCUCUGCAUCUAGGGCUGUUUGACCAGUUAUAGAUAAGGGAGUUGGAGCCUAUCAUGAGUUCAGGUGAUUAAAGGAAAGAAUGAACAAACGCAAGUGAAAGACUCUAGGAUUGCAUCGUCACAAGCAUUAAUAGCUCUGAUUCAGUCACCUCUCCCAUUUCCAGAAACUUACCUUCCUAUUAAGUGAAGUAUAUGAGCAUACAUCUUUUUUGGGGGGAAAUGGUUAACUAUUUUUAUCCAACUAAGGUUUUGAGUUGAUGCAUUCUAGUUUAUCUUGUACUACUUCUUUUACAUUUCUCUAUUCUUUCCUUCUGUCUUCCAAACAAGACAAUUUUUUGCUUGCUACCUAGACAUGUCUUGUGUGUUGUCUUAUGCUGUCCUGUCAGUUCGUGUGCCC